rnacentral:rRNA from 1 species
AUGAACGCUGGCGGCGUGCCUCAUCCCUGCAAGUCGCGCGAACAGACGAGGAGCUUGCUCCUUCGACGUUAGCGGCGGACGGGUGAGUAACACGUAGGUAACCUACCUAUAAGACUGGGAUAACUUCGGGAAACCGGAGCUAAUACCGGAUAAUAUUUCGAACCGCAUGGUUCGAUAGUGAAAGAUGGCUUUGCUAUCACUUAUAGAUGGACCUGCGCCGUAUUAGCUAGUUGGUAAGGUAACGGCUUACCAAGGCAACGAUACGUAGCCGACCUGAGAGGGUGAUCGGCCACACUGGAACUGAGACACGGUCCAGACUCCUACGGGAGGCAGCAGUAGGGAAUCUUCCGCAAUGGGCGAAAGCCUGACGGAGCAACGCCGCGUGAGUGAUGAAGGUCUUCGGAUCGUAAAACUCUGUUAUUAGGGAAGAACAAACGUGUAAGUAACUGUGCACGUCUUGACGGUACCUAAUCAGAAAGCCACGGCUAACUACGUG